GAUGAACGCUGGCGGCGUGCCUAAUACAUGCAAGUCGAGCGAACAGAUAGGAGCUUGCUCCUCUGACGUUAGCGGCGGACGGGUGAGUAACACGUGGAUAACCUACCUAUAAGACUGGGAUAACUUCGGGAAACCGGAGCUAAUACCGGAUAAUAUAUUGAACCGCAUGGUUCAAUAGUGAAAGACGGUUUUGCUGUCACUUAUAGAUGGAUCCGCGCCGCAUUAGCUAGUUGGUAAGGUAACGGCUUACCAAGGCAACGAUGCGUAGCCGACCUGAGAGGGUGAUCGGCCACACUGGAACUGAGACACGGUCCAGACUCCUACGGGAGGCAGCAGUAGGGAAUCUUCCGCAAUGGGCGAAAGCCUGACGGAGCAACGCCGCGUGAGUGAUGAAGGUCUUCGGAUCGUAAAACUCUGUUAUUAGGGAAGAACAAAUGUGUAAGUAACUAUGCACGUCUUGACGGUACCUAAUCAGAAAGCCACGGCUAACUACGUG
rnacentral:rRNA from 1 species